UACGUAGGCAGCGAGCGUUGUUCGGAAUUACUGGGCGUAAAGAGUGUGUAGGCGGUGCUCUAAGUUCGGUGUGAAAUCUCCUGGCUCAACUGGGAGGGUGCGCCGGAAACUGGAGUGCUUGAGCGUGGGAGAGGAAAGCGGAAUUCCUGGUGUAGCGGUGAAAUGCGUAGAGAUCCGGAAGAACACCCGUGGCUAAGGCGGCUCUCUAGUACGGUACGUGAC
rnacentral:rRNA from 1 species